UGGUGUUCAGUUUGGUAUUGUACAUUUUAUGGAUUUUGUCAAGUGCAUAAUGACAUGUAUUCACUGUUACAAUACCAAACAGAAUAGUUUCACUGCCAUAAAAAUUUCAUGUGCUCCAGCUAGUCC